rnacentral:rRNA from 1 species
AGCGGAAACGAGUUAUCUGAACCUUCGGGGAACGAUAACGGCGUCGAGCGGCGGACGGGUGAGUAAUGCCUAGGAAAUUGCCCUGAUGUGGGGGAUAACCAUUGGAAACGAUGGCUAAUACCGCAUAAUGCCUACGGGCCAAAGAGGGGGACCUUCGGGCCUCUCGCGUCAGGAUAUGCCUAGGUGGGAUUAGCUAGUUGGUGAGGUAAGGGCUCACCAAGGCGACGAUCCCUAGCUGGUCUGAGAGGAUGAUCAGCCACACUGGAACUGAGACACGGUCCAGACUCCUACGGGAGGCAGCAGUGGGGAAUAUUGCACAAUGGGCGCAAGCCUGAUGCAGCCAUGCCGCGUGUGUGAAGAAGGCCUUCGGGUUGUAAAGCACUUUCAGUCGUGAGGAAGGUAGUGUAGUUAAUAGCUGCAUUAUUUGACGUUAGCGACAGAAGAAGCACCGGCUAACUCCGUGCCAGCAGCCGCGGUAAUACGGAGGGUGCGAGCGUUAAUCGGAAUUACUGGGCGUAAAGCGCAUGCAGGUGGUUUGUUAAGUCAGAUGUGAAAGCCCGGGGCUCAACCUCGGAAUUGCAUUUGAAACUGGCAGACUAGAGUACUGUAGAGGGGGGUAGAAUUUCAGGUGUAGCGGUGAAAUGCGUAGAGAUCUGAAGGAAUACCGGUGGCGAAGGCGGCCCCCUGGACAGAUACUGACACUCAGAUGCGAAAGCGUGGGGAGCAAACAGGAUUAGAUACCCUGGUAGUCCACGCCGUAAACGAUGUCUACUUGGAGGUUGUGGCCUUGAGCCGUGGCUUUCGGAGCUAACGCGUUAAGUAGACCGCCUGGGGAGUACGGUCGCAAGAUUAAAACUCAAAUGAAUUGACGGGGGCCCGCACAAGCGGUGGAGCAUGUGGUUUAAUUCGAUGCAACGCGAAGAACCUUACCUACUCUUGACAUCCAGAGAACUUUC